rnacentral:rRNA from 1 species
CACGUAGGGCGCGAGCGUUGUCCGGAAUUAUUGGGCGUAAAGAGCUCGUAGGCGGCCUGUUGCGUCCGCUGUGAAAGCCCGGGGCUUAACCCCGGGUCGGCAGUGGAUACGGGCAGGCUAGAGGCAGGCAGGGGAGAACGGAAUUCCCGGUGUAGCGGUGAAAUGCGCAGAUAUCGGGAGGAACACCGGUGGCGAAGGCGGUUCUCUGGGCCUGUACUGACGCUGAGGGGCGAAAGCGUGGGGAGCGGACAGG